ACGAACGCUGGCGGCGUGCUUAACACAUGCAAGUCGCACGGAAAGGCCCUGCUUUUGUGGGGUGCUCGAGUGGCGAACGGGUGAGUAACACGUGAGUAACCUGCCCUUGACUUUGGGAUAACUUCAGGAAACUGGGGCUAAUACCGGAUAGGAGCUCCUGCUGCAUGGUGGGGGUUGGAAAGUUUCGGCGGUUGGGGAUGGACUCGCGGCUUAUCAGCUUGUUGGUGGGGUAGUGGCUUACCAAGGCUUUGACGGGUAGCCGGCCUGAGAGGGUGACCGGGCAGGUGGGGAGGGAGAUGGGGCAGAGCGUCCUCCGGGAGGCAGCAGUGGGGAGUGUAGGAGGAUGGCCGGAAGCCUGAUGCCGUAUCGCCGGGGGGGGGAUGAGGGCGUGCGGGUAGUAGACCAAGAUCGCCCGUAACGAAGCGUGCGUGACGGGAAGGGGUAAAGAAGCAACGGCUAACGACGCG
rnacentral:rRNA from 1 species